rnacentral:rRNA from 1 species
GACGUAGGGGGCCAGCGUUGUUCGGAAUUACUGGGUGUAAAGGGUUCGUAGGCGGUGUGGCAAGUCGGGAGUGAAAUCUCUGGGCUCAACCCAGAGACUGCUUCCGAAACUGCUGUGCUUGAGUGUGAGAGAGGCUCGUGGAAUUGCAGGUGUAGCGGUGAAAUGCGUAGAUAUCUGCAGGAACACCCGUGGCGAAAGCGGCGAGCCUGGAUCACUACUGACGCUGAGGAACGAAAGCUAGGGGAGCAAACAGG